AGAUUACAGGUGGGCAGGAUAUUAACCAUCCUCGAGUGACAAAGAUCCCAGAGUGAUGCAGUGGCGGCUGUGGCUAGACUUGUUGCAAGCCAGGGAACCAUACCCAUAUUUGUAUAUCCGCAACAAGGAAUUUCCAUUGGGUAUAUGUCUCUCAUAGAAUGCUUUAAUCCGUGUGUCUAGGUGUGUGACACUUGUGUGGUACUUAUUAGAAGUUUCUCCAUGAGGAAGGAGCUGGAUGAAUAUGAUGGAUCGGAGUUUGUAAUUCCUUGUUCAUACAUGAUGGAACUUGUAUGAACAUGAUGAUGUGUGGCACUUGCGUGGCACUUAUUACAUUUUGGAGAUUUAUAAUUCCUUGUUUUUCUUG